CUAAUAAACAACAGAAAACACUUGCAAAAAACGGCAAGGAACGUAUGUUAACUAGUGAUGGGUCCAGCGACACCGAUGCAUUGACACAUGCGCCGGGCUCACAGAGCAAACCACGUGUCGAUGCAUGUGCCUGCUUCAUUACGUCACGUGAUUGACACGUGAACUGCAUUGACACAGUCCAGGCUUCUAAUUGACACACCGGCUGCGUUGACACAGUCCAGGCUGCUAAUUGACACAUCGACUGUGUUGACACAGUCCAGGCUGCUAAUUGACACAUCGGCUGCGUUGACACAGUCCAGGCUGCUAAUUGACACGUGAACUGCACCGGUGCAGUUUAGACCGCAUCGGCUGCUUGGCACAGUACAGGCUGCGCCACUUAGUCCAGGGGGCGUCGACUCAGUGCAGAGGGCGUUGACGCAGCAAAAGCCCGCCGCACAGUGUUUAUAAGGAAGUGGGUUUGGCCACACAAUGCCACUUGCCGAAACAAGCCAGACCUCACUCACGCUCGCUUGUCGAAGUUCGUGUCAGUGCAGACUUUGUGUUCGUGCCUUGCCUUCCUUGCCGAUUAUGGAGCAGAGACGCAAAUCAUCCGCCGUGUGGGACCAUUUUGAUGUCCCGGAGAAUAAGGUGAAAUGUCGAAUUUGCCAAGUCGAAUUGUCAUACACCAACAGAAGCACCUCCACCAUGCUGAGGCAUUAUCGGGCCAAGCAUGAGAAUGAAGUUCGCGAUACACCCAGUAUUACGCCAGGUUCCAGGAAGCGGCUGUACUGGAAGGACCAACACACUUCUUUCCCAAACCUCUCCCACCUCGCAAAGGAGUUCCUUUGUACGCCAGCCUCAUCCGUCCCUUGUGAGCGUGUGUUCUCCACAGCAGGAGAAAUCGCUUGUAAAAGACGCAACAGGCUGAAGUUUAAAACAUUGGAGCAUCUUAUUUUUCUCAAUAAAAAUGUGUGAAAUAAAAGCCCACAAGCAUCCUCAUUCAAAUGAUCUUCACAUUAUUUGAACACAUUGAAUGUUGCAAAAUGAAUGCAUGGAUGUGAAUGAUAUUGUAUACACUUCAUCAUCAAAUCGAUGAAUGACCUUAUGAAAAUGUUUUGGAACAGUUGUAGAUGCAAAACCGUGCUGGCAGCUACAUAAUGGAUAAUAAAAGAAAAAUAUCCCAAACCAUAGGGAUCCUCCCAAAAACUAAGGAUGUGCUGAAAAAGAGAUCCUUGUACACCUUAUACUUUUAUUACUUCCAUAUUUGACCUAUUGUGUGGGAAUAUGGGGAAAUGCCAGUAAAACACUGUUUUAAAACUACAAUACAAAGCAAUCGGAACAAUCACUGGCUCCAAAUGGACGGAACCCACAAUUCCACUGUUUAUCAAAUUAAACAAUGAAAUCUCAUGACCUGAUUGACUUCAAAAUCGCCCAAUUAAUGUACAAAGCACACAAUAACCUUUGCCAAAAGAUCCAGAAGCUUUUUAAAAUUCGAGAAAGUUGUCAUAAUUUAGGGGGUACUAAUCUAUACAAAAAAAUCCAAAACACGAACGAACAUCACACAAAGGAGUGUAUCUGUAAUCGGUGUAAAUCUGUGGAAUGAUUCUGAAACGGACCAGUAAAAUGAGGAACUCUCUUGCUGAGAUUAAAAAUGAAUUUGAGAGUAGUACAAGACAACUACACAAAUCAGAAUUAAGCUGAUAAAUUCGAUACACUCAUGAAAUAUAGCAAUACAUCAGAAAUACAUUGAUGAGAUUAUUUAAUAUAUUAAUGAAAUGUAGCAUCCAUUAUGAAUAUGAGAAAAUCGACAUAUACAUGUGCUCUAAAGAGUAUGUACUGUAUAUACAAACCUAAUGUAUUAGUACAGCAUACAUAAGGGUAAAAGCAUUUGUUGAUAUUUAGACUUUCUUUCCUAUUUAGAAAAAUGAUCAAUUCAUAUAUAAGAAGGGGUAGGACUCGGGGUAGGUUUUUUGCUUCUUUCUACUCCUUUGAACACAUAUUUGUGAUGAUGACUAUUUUCUUUUCCUUUUUUUAUAUCUAACCUUCACCUUUUGCCAAUUUAUUACCGAAUUGUAUAUUUUAUAUGUUCAAUAUACAAAACAAUUUAUCAGUCAGUUCAGUCUGUUAAGUGGGUUGGCUGCAGGGAUCUUGAAGGUCCAGCAGGUGGCAGUGGUCAGUGACACAGUAUCAGCACAGUAUCAACACAGUGUGUCAGUGUGUCGACACGCCUCAUGAGGCCUCAUGGACCCAUCACUAAUGUUAACACAAAUACUAGUUCACGCACGAUAAUACAAAGAUUCCCUUGGGACGACAAAAAUGUAACUAACCGUGAAUGGUAUCAAUUGUGUAAUAUGGGCAACAGCAGCAAUGGGUCGACCACCGGAGCGGCUAGAUAUAGGAGGUGCAAUCACUGGCAAAUAGGCAGCAGGUGUGCAGGCGGCAGAAGUGAACGCGUGCCACCUGCUGCCGAAUACGGAACAUGACAGUUUGUUUUCUCGGUUUGACUAUUUCCUUGCCUUUUGCAAGCAUUUUUUGUUAUUGUAUUGUUUUUCUUUCCUGAUUCUUAUUGACCAGCGAUUUCUGUUCAUACUUUGACGAUGUGCUUUUGUUAUUGUGUGUGUGUGUGUGUGUAUGUACAGUAUCUCUCUCUCUCUCAUAAAUAUAUAUAUAUAUACACAUACACACACACACGCGCCCACCAUAUUGGCCCGAAUAUAAGACGGUGUUUUUUGCAUUGAAAUAAGACUGAGUCGUCUUUUAUUCGGGUUCUAGACAUACCCAUUCACGACGCUAGAUGGCACCAGAUAUCAUUGAAGCGAAUGCUGAACUUGACUCCCCAGGCCAAAGUGAACCCCUGCCACGAAGAAUAAAAAUAAAAAUAGAGGUAGCACGAAGAAGAAAAAUAAAAAGAUAGCGGUAAGAAGGAAAAUAGAAGAAAAUAAUAGAAGAGAUAACAGAA